GAGAUGUGAGGGGGAUGCUCAGAAAGAAGCUGAGGAUGAAGCAGCCUGGGACUGAAGAAGAGGCUGAGACGCUUACCUCAUUUUCUCUUUAAGGGAAAUUGAUGGUUUUCAUAGGUGGUUUCUUACCACCUAGCAACUUCUUUGACUCCUGAGACAAGCACACUGGAUACAAAAGGAAGGCCCCAGAAGAGUUCUUUUGGAGCAGAACAUGAUGCCAAUACUAUGCUUGUUUUCCCCCUUCGUUCUUUUAUUAACUUCUCAAAUUACGGAACAGUAGACCUGCUAAAAUUGCUACUUUUAUGUUUUGUAGCUUUGGCUUAUCAAAUGCUUCUUUCUGUUACAGUCCUUGAUACAUUGUUGAGGUUUCAUUUGGGCUUCUUUGCUCCUACCAGAAACCUUCCAAACAACUUCGCAUCACAGAUAUGUUUCAAGAGACUAGAUACAGAAAGUAAACUUAGGAUAAUUCUUUUUGGGACUUGAGCCAAAACCAAAGGAAAGGCCUUGACCGCAAUACAUCCUUUUCCUUUAAAUUUUUUCACAUGGAUGUGUCUUAUUUUUGUAAGUCUAAGUCACUGCUUUUCCUUGGAUAUAUUUAAAAACUGGCUGAUUCUCCCAUAUUCUUUGUAGGACCAGCUCGUCCUUCCUCACCAGAAGGUUGGAAUGGGGGAGGGCAUAUCUGUAAGUCAAGACACAGCAUUUCACACACUGGCUCAGCAUGGCAGCUGUUGGGGGUAGCUAUUGAAGUAUCUUCAAACUUUGUCAGAAUUGCCAGAGGGGAAAGACUCCCGGCCCUCUCCCUGCCCUUUCUAGUUGGCUGCUUAGAAAGAUGUUACUUAGAACUAAUUUUCAUUUUACAGAGAAUUCGCAUCCCACAAGGCUGAUAAAGAGGCAUGGAACACAGUCAAGGGAGAGAUAGCCUUCCACUGAAAACGUGGGUGGCAGAGUUUUAAUCCCAGCUCUACGCCUGAGUUGCUAUUUAGGUCAAGACUGCAGCUAGACUAAUCACUCUUUUUGGCACACUUUGCUAUCUGUACUAAUUCCUAAAUGUCUACUGAGCUGUAAUCGCCCUCAGUUGGUCUCACGUCAACAGCUUUAAUAUAUUGCCAUCACCUGAUUUGAUCACUGCAUGAUAAGGCCACUGGGAAAAAGAAAAUAACAUUUGUUUAUCAUUUCCCAGAAGUCUUUGCAAGCUUUCCUAGAGUAACCUAGACACUACUUCCCCCAACCCUCUGCCAAGAACAGUUUCUUCUUAAUUCAGUUUGUUUGUUUGUUUGUGUCUGCCUGUAAUCUUGGAGAUUGAAUCCAGGAUCUCACACGUGUUAUGAAAAUCCUCCACUACACUUCCAACACAGGAUCAUUUUCCUUAAAACAUGGAGCAAUUGCAGUCCUAGGACUUGAUGGUGUUUGUAACCCUUUCCAGUGCUAACAAUAAUUCUAUCGGGUCACAGCAGCUGUAUUGGUGCUCUGUUCCUGUUGCCGGUGUUUGGAUGACAGAUGUUAACGACAAUUUCCUUCCUCCAUCAUCAUCAUCAUCAUCAUCAUCAUCAUCAUCAUCAUCAUCAUCAUCAUCAUCAUCCAGGAUGACUCCCUAUGAAAUCAAAAUGGAUCCGCAGAGGGUACUUGGAAUUUGUGGUGGAGGAAACUGUCCACUCAGCCCAUUGAUAUGAGAAGAAAUCUUUCCUUGUUGGCAAGGUGUGCAAGAACGGAAAGUGUGAGAAAGAAAGCCCCAGUGUAGUGGUUUGAAUGUAAUUGGCUGCCCUGGGCCCAUGAGGAGAGGCACCAUUAGGAGGUAUGGCCUUGUUGGAGUGGGUGUGGCCUUAUUGGUGUGGGUGUGGCCUUGAAGUGGGUGUGGCCUUGUUGGAAUAGGUGUGGCUUUGGAGGAAGAGUGUCAUGGUGGAGGCAGGCCUUGAGUUCUUAUAUAUGCUUAUGCCACACCCAGUGGGACAGUCUCCUGCUGCUGCCUGUGGAUCAAGACGUAGAACUCUCUCAGAUCUUCUAGCACCAUGUCUGCCUGCACUGCCAUGCUUGAUAAUGGACUAAACCUCUGAACUAUAAGCCAGAGCCAAUUAAAUGUCUUCAUUAUAAGA
rnacentral:sRNA from 1 species